UCACGCUCUAUCACGCUGUUCAAGGGAAGCCGGUCACUCUGCCCUGCUACGGUGUCAUCCCAAGACCCAGCCACACCAGCAGAUCUACAUCCAAUGGCUGAAGGAACGAGUGGGAGAUAUGACCUUAACCCUGGUCCAGACGACAAGGGACCUAAGGAAGAAGACCUCCGUCUCUCUCUCCCACCACAACCUGCUGGAGAACGGUGACCUGUCCUUGUUUAUCUACAAGACGGAGCUCAAAGACCAGGGAGUCUAUCGCUGCUUCUACAAGUCCAGGGCUUCGAGGACCCUAAGAGUGGGAUACCAGAGGGUGUCUCUCUGACCAUCCUAGAUCCACAGCUGACCUAAUCUAACUUAACAGGAACAGAGAAUGUCACCAGUAGCUCAGACUUCAGUGGGACUAGUGGUGACAGUGAGAACCCAAUAACAUUCUUCACUUUGGUGACCCAAGAUAAGGAGGAUARGCAAGGUGCUGUARAGGUGUUGCAACYUUUGAAAGCUAUUUUCUCCCCAAUGCUUAUUAUUACUUAUUGUUUUCGUUAUUGCUGGGACAUACUGGUAACAUUUCAUUACAURAUUAGMGACAUCAUCUGAGCCAAUAUUAGUGCAGACAGAGAUGACCCCAUCAUCACCUGAUGCAACCUUCGAGGAUCCAGAAGACGUGUUGGCAGUGUGGGCAAAGACUCUUCCGCUGGUGCGUAUCGGGAUAAUCACCGGGGUUCUGCUGGUUACAGCUCUGAUCUUCUUCCCUCUGCUGGCUCUCAACAAGAUCCKAUCCUAGACCCACAUUAGGAAGAGAGGGUAGAUGCAAGGGUUAGGGCAAGGUCAUUCAAUUAUGGUUCUGGAGGGCUGAAAAACACAGUUUUCAUUCUCUUUUAAUCAGACUGAUUCAGCUCUGGGUCUAUCAGGUGACUCUCGGCCAAUCAAUUACAUCAAAUGAUAAUUCAUUCAAGACUAGUAACUUUUUAAAGUGUAUACAGUGCAUUCGUAAAGUAUUCAGACCCCUUUGCUUUUUCCACAUUUUGUUACAUU